GAAGGAAGAGAGAUAGCUCAAUGGUAAACCAUCUGCUUUGCAUGCAGAAGGUGCUGAUAAUGCCAAGGUCGCAGGUUCGAUCCCUGCAUAUUCCUGCA